CCUACGGGAGGCAGCAGUAGGGAAUCUUUCACAAUGGGCGAAAGCCUGAUGGAGCAACGCCGCGUGCAGGAUGAAGGCCUUAGGGUUGUAAACUGCUUUUAUAAGCGAGGAAUAUGAUGGUAACUUAUGAAUAAGGAUCGGCUAACUACGUGCCAGCAGCCGCGGUCAUACGUAGGAUCCGAGCAUUAUCCGGAGUGACUGGGUGUAAAGAGUUGAGUAGGUGGGAUAAAAAGUAGCUAGGGAAAUCUGGUGGCUCAAACAUUCAGACUAUUAGCGAAACUGUUAAGCUCGAGAGCGUUAGGGGUAGCUGGAAUUUCUAGUGUAGGAGUGAAAUCCGUAGAUAUUAGAAGGAACACUCAUAGCGUAGGCAGGUUACUGGGACGGUUCUGACACUAAGGCACGAAAGCGUAGGGAGCAAACGGGAUUAGAUACCCCGGUAGUC
rnacentral:rRNA from 1 species